CCUACGGGUGGCAGCAGUGGGGAAUAUUGCACAAUGGGGGAAACCCUGAUGCAGCGAUGCCGCGUGGAGGAAGAAGGUUUUCGGAUUGUAAACUCCUUUUAUCAGGGACGAUAAUGACGGUACCUGAAGAAAAAGCUCCGGCUAACUACGUGCCAGCAGCCGCGGUAAUACGUAGGGGGCAAGCGUUAUCCGGAUUUACUGGGUGUAAAGGGAGCGUAGGUGGCAAGGCAAGUCAGAUGUGAAAACCCGGGGCCCAACCCCGGGAGUGCAUUUGAAACUGUCUGGCUAGAGUGCAGGAGAGGUAAGUGGAAUUCCUAGUGUAGCGGUGAAAUGCAUAGAUAUUAGGAGGAACACCAGUGGCGAAGGCGGCUUACUGGACUGUAACUGACACUGAGGCUCGAAAGCGUGGGGAGCAAACAGGAUUAGAUACCCGUGUAGUC
rnacentral:rRNA from 1 species